rnacentral:tRNA from 1 species
GCCACGGUGGUCUAGCGGUUAGAACGCUGGCCUUGUAAUCCUGGGGUCUCGGGUUCGAUUCCCGGCGGUGAGG